ACGGCCAUGCCACGUUUAAACAUCGGUUCCUGCACGAUCACUGAUGUUAAGCAACCUCGAGCCUGAUUAAUACCGUGAUGGAUGACCGCUUGGGAAUACCAGAUGU